GAAAACCCAAUUAAUGGAAAUUUACUGACAGAGCGCGGGUCGAAGCAAUUGCGGGCAGAGCAUGUACAUCAAUCAGAGUUGAUACAACCGGGUCAAGAAACAAUGCUUGAAGAUACUGGAAUUGUGAUUAGAUAUGAAGUGGGGCUCACCUUAGACAAGGCUGACAAUUCUGUCUUGGGGCAUGCUGCGAAGGUGGUUCUUGCCAUGGAUUAUACUACAAUAGUAAGUGAUGGGAGCUCUCAAGCAGCGGUUAAAAAGUGUGUGGCACAUAUUAGAGACCUUAUCGAGAUGAGUAUGGAUCUGUAGGAAAGGCGUACGGAGGUGUCGGCUACAACUACAUGCUUAUGAGUAAACGCAAAUACAUACUCUACAAAGACUAUUUGCAUCAACACUGUUACUUACUAUCCAUUAUAACUACAUAUUAUAUCAGUCGGGUUGAACUGAACAAGCAUGUUAUGAUAAAAUCAUGCAACACUGAAGUAAAUUGCCAUCAGAGACGAAAGAUUUCAAGAUGCACUGUCAUGGUUGGCGGUUAGUGUAUUGUAUGCCGAAGAGACCAGCAUUCAAGGGUUUAGUUGUUGGCAAUUAUGUUAUACAAUAGGCCCUGGCUUUGUGUUGUGAAAGAUGGAAUUAUGAAUCUCAUUUAUAAGAUUUUUGAGAUGCCAAGACAUGAAGCUAUCAAAACCCUGAGUAUUUACAAAAGAGCCAGUCAGCGGUAGCCGGAUCUAGAAAAAAAAACAUCCUUUUCAAGAUUGAUCGCUUGGCUGGAGGAACAACUAUUGCUUAGGCCACACGGUUUCUCAUAUCAAUGGGGGAAAAUGGCAAACGUGAUGGACAUGCAAGCCAUUCUUGAAAUAUGUAUAAAAUGGACAUGAGGUUCUUAAUGACUUUCCCUUUUUGAACCCUUUUAACAGUUGUCUACAAUUAUGAUUUGAUUUUUUUAGUUAAAUUUUGUUCCAU